rnacentral:rRNA from 1 species
AUUGAAGGCUGAAAUUCGCCUUCAUGAAGCCGGAAUUGCUAGUAAUGGCAGGUCAGCAUACUGCCGUGAAUACGUUCCCGGGCCUUGUACACACCGCCCGUCAAACCAUGAGAGUUGGCAACACCCGAAGUCGGUAGUCUAACCGCAAGGAGGACGCCGCCGAAGGUGGGGUUGAUGAUUAGGGUUAAGUCGUAACAAGGUAUC